rnacentral:rRNA from 1 species
UUCUGGCUCAGGAUGAACGCUAGCUACAGGCUUAACACAUGCAAGUCGAGGGGCAGCGGGAGAGUAGCUUGCUACUCUUGCCGGCGACCGGCGCACGGGUGAGUAACACGUAUCCAACCUGCCCUGAACCCCGGGAUAGCCCUCUGAAAGGAGGAUUAAUACCGGAUGUGGCCGCUGGGGGACAUCCCCCGGCGUCUAAAGAUUCAUCGGUUGAGGAUGGGGAUGCGUCUGAUUAGCUUGUCGGCGGGGUAACGGCCCACCGAGGCACCGAUCAGUAGGGGUUCUGAGAGGAAGGUCCCCCACAUAGGAACUGAGACACGGUCCUAACUCCUACGGGAGGCAGCAGUGAGGAAUAUUGGUCAAUGGGCGAGAGCCUGAACCAGCCAAGUAGCGUGAGGGACGACUGCCCUAUGGGUUGUAAACCUCUUUUAUGCGGGAAUAACGGGAGCCACGCGUGGCUUUGUGCAUGUACCGCAUGAAUAAGCAUCGGCUAAUUCCGUGCCAGCAGCUGC